rnacentral:rRNA from 1 species
CAGUCGCCGCGGGAAUACAGAGGAUACAAGCGUUAUCCGGAAUGAUUGGGCGUAAAGCGUCUGUAGGUGGCUUUUCAAGUCCGCCGUCAAAUCCUAGGGCUCAACCCUGGACAGGCGGUGGAAACUACCAAGCUGGAGUAUGAUAGGGGCAGAGGGAAUUUCCAGUGGAGUGGUGAAAUGCGUUGAGAUCGAAAAGAACACCAACGAUGAAAGCACUCUGCUGGGCCGACACUGACACUGAGAGACGAAAGCUAGGGGAGCAAAUGGGAUUAGAUACCCCAGUAGUCCCUGUCUCUUAUAC